rnacentral:rRNA from 1 species
ACGCUGGCGGCGUGCUUAACACAUGCAAGUCGAACGAUGAAGCCUAGCUUGCUAGGUGGAUUAGUGGCGAACGGGUGAGUAAUACGUGAGUAACCUACCUUUAACUCUGGGAUAAGCCUGGGAAACUGGGUCUAAUACCGGAUACGACCAAUCUCCGCAUGGGGUGUUGGUGGAAAGCGUUAUGUAGUGGUUAUAGAUGGGCUCACGGCCUAUCAGCUUGUUGGUGAGGUAACGGCUCACCAAGGCGACGACGGGUAGCCGGCCUGAGAGGGUGACCGGCCACACUGGGACUGAGACACGGCCCAGACUCCUACGGGAGGCAGCAGUGGGGAAUAUUGCACAAUGGGCGCAAGCCUGAUGCAGCGACGCCGCGUGAGGGAUGACGGCCUUCGGGUUGUAAACCUCUGUUAGCAGGGAAGAAGAGAGAUUGACGGUACCUGCAGAGAAAGCGCCGGCUAACUACGUGCCAGCAGCCGCGGUAAUACGCAGGGCGCGAGCGUUGUCCGGAAUUAUUGGGCGUAAAGAGCUUGUAGGCGGUUUGUCGCGUCUGCUGUGAAAGGCCGGAGCUUAACUCCGUGUAUUGCAGUGGGUACGGGCAGACUAGAGUGCAGUAGGGGAGACUGGAAUUCCUGGUGUAGCGGUGGAAUGCGCAGAUAUCAGGAGGAACACCGAUGGCGAAGGCAGGUCUCUGGGCUGUAACUGACGCUGAGAAGCGAAAGCAUGGGGAGCGAACAGGAUUAGAUACCCUGGUAGUCCAUGCCGUAAACGUUGGGCACUAGGUGUGGGGGACAUUCCACGUUUUCCGCGCCGUAGCUAACGCAUUAAGUGCCCCGCCUGGGGAGUACGGCCGCAAGGCUAAAACUCAAAGAAAUUGACGGGGGCCCGCACAAGCGGCGGAGCAUGCGGAUUA